CAACUUUCCUUAUAACAUUAUUGCUCAUGUUUAUGAUUCUGCAGAAUUUAUUGCGGAGAGCGUUGGCAGCAUCACUAACGAAGAUGAAGGUAGGAACAACACUGCCAAGGGUGAAAGCUUGGAUUCAGGUUCCCAGCUGGAGGGGAUCCCUUACAGCAGAUUUUGGCUUUGUUUUUAAAUUUGCCUAUGAAAACCAUAAGCUGACAGGGCACAACAAAACUCUGCGAGUCGCUUGACACUGGAGACCCAAGUUCUUGGAGCAAGUGUCUGGUGGUGGAUGAGAAGUAUACUCUGUCUGCACUUUCAGGAUCCCAUUGCUCUUUCUUCCUCACGUAAAAGCACUCCCAGGGUAGGAUGGCUUAUAGAGCACGUCUCUGGGAUCACGGAUGUGCUCCAGCCUCCUUCAGCUCAUCUCAGCCUGGACAGCUCACCCAAGGCUGAUGUGCUGAUGCACACAUCAUGUUUGAGGGAGGGCUCCAUGUCCACCUGCCUGGGGACCCUCCCCACCAGAAGGAAGUCUAGAGGAAUGUGUGAAGGGGAGGCUGGGCUUCUCUGCACACUUGCUCCCACAGACCCAUCCACCUGGUCUCCUGGGCUUGACCAGGCCCAGGACAGAGGCUCAGGGCAGCAGGGCCUGGGACCCCUGGUUCCCUGAGAAUCCACCGCUCAUCCAGGCAGCCUUGGCCCUGCUCCCCACACCCCAGUCAUGUGCACACCAUGUCCUCUCCUCAGGCCUGACCAGCUCUCAUCCCUCCUUGUCCUUCCAAGUCUAAGGGCAAAUCCUGGUAGGCACCCUAUGUUUAUGUAGAUGCCUGUUGGCUCAUUUUGGGGCAAGGAAUUUGGAUACAUUCCUUCACCUCUGAUUGUGCUUUUAUCCUCUCUGAGGAGCUGGGAAAGUCAGGGUGGUGUUGUGAGCAAUAAGCUUCUGCCAGAUACCUCAGGUCACCCCAGGUGCCAGCACAGGAUCAGGCCCAUGCCAGGAACUCCCUGGGUGGCAUCGAUUGGUUAAGAGAAACAUUGACUGCCUGGAGAGUGGCAACAUUGCCAUGGCCCUUCUUCCACCCUGCCCUCAUUGGAGGAAGGAAAUGAGCAGUAAUCAGAGGAGAGAAAUGAGGAAGGAGGGAGUCGGAAGCAGGGGUUCUGGAGGAAGGCCAGGGCAUGCUCCGAGGUUCAUGGGGACAGAUGCAGCCUGUGUGUGGAGCAGGAAGACACAGGUCUUAUUCCAAGUCACAUUGAGGGAAGCAGAGGGCUGCAGCAGGAUCUUGGGGAUCAGAGACCUUCUCCACUGUAGAUGUGAACCAGCUGAGGCCCUGGGAGGUCCAGAAAGGGGCCCGAGACUGAGCUCCCUGCAGCAUCAUGGUCCUGAGGUUCCAUCUUGAUUCUAAAUCACCCCUUUCCUUUCCCAUGGCCUCCCCAACCUGGUGGCUGCCCCUGGACACAGAAUGUUACAUGGCAGAUAACGAGAAUUCUGACAAGGAAAGCAGAAUUAAGCGGAAGCGGAAACGCUCCCUGUUCCUGCGUUUAAGAAAAGCAUUUGGGGGGACAGCCUCCGAUGCCGAUGAUGAGCACACCUAGGAAGAGGCAGUGUCGAUGUGGCAGACCGGGGGUGCAAAGAUUGUCAGUUUGGCAUCAAUGACAACCUGGAUGUGAACACCCCCAGCCUACGCCUCAGCACAUCCAUACCAUCAGGACCUCCACCUAAAUAAGUCCAGAAGCAGCCUCACUCAAUGCUCACCUCCUAGGGCACCUCACUUAGUAUAAUCUCCGUUGUUUAACUGCAUAGAUUUAGUGUAUUAGUUAUAUCCCUAGUUUUAUCUUUUAGUUUUCUCUAUAUGUUCUAUAUGUUCAAUAUUUAUCUCUAUGUUCUGUCUUUUAUGAAAUAAAAUGUUUCUUAUUAAAUUUAAUUUAUUAUUACACUGUAUUUAUCUAUACAGCUGCUUUUAGAAUCCUGCUUUAUAAAAUAAAAUACACACAGAGAUAGAAAAGCACCCUCAGCAGAGGCAGCGCUUCAUGAAUUGUUGGAAGGCAGGUGCCCUAGUGUCCACCAGGAUCACUCCCUCCCUCGCUUAUCCCUCACCAAGUCUCAGUUCAGUAAGGAACUCCAAAGUUCAUACUUUACACCGGUCCCAUGUCAGUGGUUGUUGUUGUUGUUGUUGUUGUUGUUCUUUUGAGGGCUGCACCAGCAGCGUUUGGAGGUUCCCAAGCUAGGGAUGGAAUCGGAACUAUAGCUGUUGGCCUAUGCCACAGCCACAGCAAUGCUGGAUCCAAGCCACUUCUGGGACCUACACCACAGCUCGCUGUGGUGCCAGAUCCUCAAACCCACUGAGCGAGGCCAGGGAUUGAAUGUGCGUCCUCAUGGAUGCUAGUCAGAUUCGUUUCUGCUGAGCCAUGAUGGGAACUCCCCAUGUCAGUCUUCCUAGGGAGUCCAUUGUCUGAAGCCUGUUCAAUCCAGUGGUCCAGGGGGUAAUAAACCCAAGAUCUUUCAUGGUGGCUUGGAUAUCAGGACUCUUGAUACCCACCCAGCCUGGCUGGUAAAAAAUUCAUGAUUCAUCAUCUAUCCCCUUGUGAAUCUUAAAUAUGUUUCUCUAUUUCCUUCUGGCACAGAGAAUUUAUCUGCAGCAAUGUUUCUGAAAUUCUAAUUUUUAUUCCCUUAUAGUUCUCCUUUUUAUUCUAGAUGCCCAGAGGAAUUUUUUUAAGCCUUACACUGCAGUAUCAUUUCUUAUUAGUCAUUGCAAGUAAAUGAUCAGUGUUCUUUUGAAAACAAUUUCAAGACCGACCUUUUUAAUUUUCCAAAAAAUCUGCAUGAUGCUGUUUAAAAUUUGCUUUGUAUCAUUGGUUUUUCUCUUUCAGGUCCAUCAAUCAUUCAUCUUUCAGAUCUCUUAUGAGUGUCUUUUAUUCCAAUACAUUCGUCAGAUAUUUUACAAUGUCUGGCUUGAUUUAUUUUCCAGGAGUUGUUUUUGUUUUUGUUUUAAUAGUUGUUAAAAAUUUCUUCCUUUUCAUCCACCAUUUCUGAUAAGGUCUUAUUUCUCACCCUGUUUCUCCUAGUUUUAACUUCAUUUACAAAAUGAUUUUUCAGUAUGUUCUUAAUUCUUUUUUUUUUUUUUUUGGCUUUUUUUGGCUUUUUUUUGGGCCGCUCCCACGGCAUAUGGAGGUUCCCAGGCUAGGGGUCGAAUCGGAGUUGUAGCCACCGCCCUACGUCAGGGCCACAGCAACGCAGGAUCCGAGCCACGUCUGCAACCUACACCACAGCUUACGGGACGCCGGAUCGUUAACCCACUGAGCAAGGGCAGGGACCGAACCCGCAACCUCGUGGUUCCUAGUCGGAUUCGUUAACCACUGCGCCACGACGGGAACUCCAUAUGUUCUUAAUUCUUUUUUGAAUCCUAUACCCUAAUUGCUGAGUUUUUAAAAUUCUGAUCUCUGAGGCACUUGGAUUAUUUUCACUUUUUCUUCUGCAUUUCUUUUUUUUUACAGUGUUUGGUCUUUAUUAUUAAUCACAUCAUCAUGCAUGACAAGAGGAUCAUCAUAUCCAUGGAGAAGUUGAUAAGCAUUUGGAUUGGGCUUACUUAUCCCAGAGUUUUUUGGGACUUUUUAAAUUUUUUAUUGAAUUUUAUUUGGCCAUGCCUAUGGCAUGUGGAGUUUCCUGGGCCAAGUAUCAAGCUAGCACUAUAAUAGUGACCCAAGCAGCUGCAAUGACGAUGCCACAUCCUUAACCUGCUGAGCCUCAAGGAAAAUCCUUUUUUUUAAUUGAAGUAUAAUUGACCUAUAACACUAAGAGGUCCAGAUGCAAGAAUAUACUUUUUUGAUAUUGCUGUGCUUUCCAAAAUGAUCAUCACAGUUAAUAUAGUAACCAUCUGUCACAAGCCAAUGUUAUUACAAGGUCACUAGGUUAUCUAUGCUAUACAUUUCAUCCUCAUAACUCAUUUAUGUUUUACCUAGAAUUUUGUAAGUCUUAUUAAUUUCCCUGGCCUAUUUCUCUCAUCAGUGCACCCAUAUCCCCUCUGGAAACCACCUCUUGGUUUUCUGUAUCUAUGACUGCAUUAUGUGUUUUUGUUAGGUUUGUUCACUUGUUUUUUUUGUUUUUUUUUUUGUCUUUUUUUUUUGCCAUAUCUUGGGGAUUGUUAACCCACUGAGCAAGGGCAGGGAUCAAACCCGCAACCUCAUGGCUCCUAGUCGGAUUCAUUAACCACUGUGUCAUGAUGGGAACUCCCCUGUUCACUUGUUUUGUUUGUUUCCACAUAUAGGUGACAUCACACUGUGUUUGUCUUUGUCUCUCUGACUUAUUUAACUGAGCAUAAUACCCUGUAGGUCCAUCCAUCUUGUCACAAAUGGUAAGAUUGCAUUCUUUUUUAUGACUAAUUGUCCAUCUGUGAUAUAUAUGUGUGUGUGUGUGUGUGUGUGUGUGUGUGUGUGUGUGUAUCAAUCACAUCUUCUCAUGCAUUCAUUUAUUCAUAGAUGCUUUGGAAAACUACCCAGAGGUGGAAUUGUUGGAUUUUCUGAAAUUUCUAUUUUCAAUUUGUUUAGGAAACUCCAUAUUUAAAGUAUAUUACUUAAGAUAAUUAUUAAUUAAUAAUGCAUCCUACUGCAUUUCACCGCAUGCUGCAGAUAUGAGGGUUUUUUUUCUUUAGUGAUAGUAGGUUUGUUAAAGGCAGAAAAAAUUUUAGGAUGCCUAUUUUCUCCUGAUCCAUUUGCAGUAUCUAGAAAAAAGUUCUUAAAUUUCCUUUUUGUUAACUUUUGGUGAUUAUUUAUAAUUGCUAUCCCUAGAGUAGUAUUUUCUAUAAGGGUGAAUCAUUUUGUGUGACACUGAAUGGAACAUAUAUAAAGAGUAUAAAAGCAAUUUUAAUAAAAUCAUUUGGAUUACAAAGAAAACUUAUUCCAUGUUAUGGGCUCAAUUGGGAUGACAAAGGCUGGAAUACAGAGAAAAGAGACAAGACCUGUGGGAAUGCAUAAAAGGGCAGAUUUUAUUACCAAUCCAGGCUCAAAUGGCUCAUCACACAACAGGACAAUAAAGUGAGAGGUGAUACAGAAAUGUAGGCUAAAGAAAUAGCAGCAUUAUUCAGAAAGCUAGCAGACCAAGAAGCCAGUGGACCAGGGUCCCAAAGAGUUUCUACUAAAAGGGGAGAGCUAAAGGAAUAGAUUUAACAGAGAGUCAGGUUUGUUCUUCUCGGUUACAACUUUUCUGCAAUGGAAGAAAAGAAAUGCUUAUUUGUCCCAGGAAGAAAAAGAGAUCGCUCUAGAGUGUGGUGGGAGAAGGAUUUUCCCCAGUAGAAUAUCUGAGAUUUAAUCCCAAGGAAAAUAAGCCUAUAAUUAUGUGUUCAUUCUGACUCAGUUUCUUCUUCUUUGAAGAAAAAAUAUUUAAUUUGUAUGGUUGAUGCCAAGGAAAUUGUAUUUGCUCAUCUAUAACCAAGUGAUUUGCAGACUUUUUUCUCUUUUUUUUUCUUUUGUCUUGCUGGGCCUCACCCAUGACAUGGAGGUUCCCAGGGUGGGGGUCCAAUCAGAGCUGUAGCCACUGGCCUAUGCCAUAGCCACAGCAAUGUGGAAUCUGAGCAGAGUCUGCAACCUACACCACAGUUCAUGGAAAGGCCAGAUCCUUAACGCACUGAGGGAGGCCAGGGAUCAAACCCGCAACCUUAUGGCUCCUAGUCAGAUUUGUUAACCACUGAGCCUUGCCGGGAACUCCCAGAUUUGCAGACUUCUUGACAAUGAGCUGUAUUGUCAUCUUGUUAUCCAAGCUGAUAUGGACACUAUGUUUUCAAAGAAGAAACACAAAAUAUACACAAAAUAUCCAUAGGUAAAAAAUUAUGUGUAAUUUUUGGACUAUAUAUAUAGUAAAGCCUUCAAACUUUACUCUCAGUGAUUGACUAAAACUACUGUUAAAGCUGUAUAUGAUUUUAGUGCUGACUGAGAUGACUACCUCAUUAAUGUGAGGUCACAGUAAGUUCUUUAGCGGGGGGGGGGUGUUUCUGUGUGAGUGUAAAGAUGCUCUACCUAUCUGGAAAUGGGUUAUAACCACGAAUGCAGAGACAUUCUUUAAGGGUGUUGUUUGUUUGGCCUGUGAUCUAAUGCCUUUUUGAGAAAGGCAUCCAUAGGUAUAUUAAAAGUCAUAGAUAUGUUGAUGUAUGUCUUUGCCACCAAUGUUUGGCAUCUUGGAGGCACUUCUCCACUUCUCAGUGGACAUCAGGGGUGAGCAGCCUGCUUUGCCUGGAUCUUGCUCUCAUCAGUUGUGGCCGGGCCUUGUUUCUGUCUCUCAUGGUUGGUUAUACUUCACUCGGCCCUGUGAUUCCCACAGUCCUCAAUGUCCUCACUACUGUCGUACUUGGCAUAUGACUUUUAACCUUUCCCUCUACUCUUUUAGCAAAAAGGCAUUAGGUCAUGGGCCACUUGUCCUCAGGGCUGAGUUUUAACAUCUGUCCUGAAGGACUAUAUUGAGAGAAAACAAGGAGCACUUGGUCCACAAGAGUUUUCUCUUGCUUUCUCCUGAGUCCUAGUAUAUACUGUAAUAGUCAUCACAAGCCCCAUUUUUGCUUUCUAUCAUGAAACUUUCCAAGGACUAAAAAACAGAUAUUAAAGAAAAUAAAGCUCUUCUUUCUCAAGGUUAAAUGUUACAAUAGAAAUAUAUUUUUAUGAUUACUGUCAUUUCAUCAAAUCUGGAAUAUCACUAAAUCAUAUUUUUGGAAAGAAAUUCCUCAUAGCUUACCAGGUUUUCAUGCUUUCAUUAGAGGAGUUUGUUUUAUUUUAUUUUAUUUUGUCUUUUCUAGGGCUGCUUCCCAUGGAAUAUAAUGGUUCCCAGGCUAGGGGUUGAAUUGGAGCUGUAGACACCAGUGUGCACCAAAGCCACAGCAACAUGGGAUCUGAGCUGCAUCUGCAACCUACAUCACAGCUCAUGGCAACACCGGAUCCCCAACCCACUGAGCAAGGCCAGGGAUCGAACCCACAACCUUGUGGUCACUAGAUGGAUUUGUUAACCACUGCACCACGAUGGGAACUCCUAGAGGAGUUUAUUGAUGCUGAGUUGAUCCUGUUCCACAGGUCACCUUUCAAAAUAAUUUACUUUGUUUUGCCUUACAGAUUAUUUCUGUGGUCUUGCCAAAGGUUUGUAGCAAUAUAUUACUAUUAUCCAUGUCUACAGUACCAUAAUGCAUUUUUAUAAUCAACACCACUUUCUAAGCAGAAAACUGAACUUUUUGGGUGACUUUCUCUGAAAAUCGAUUAAUAUUCUUCAGCCAGGAACAUGGCCCUUUUCCAAUAGAAACACACUGAGAACUCUUAAUGGACUUUGAGGAGCAUGGUGAUGUAUCAUGGAUCAUAUGUGAUUAGAAGCAAGAAGGAGAAGAAACUGUUGAUGCCUUGGUUUCUUUAACAAUCUCUCAGUGUUGGCAUAAAUGUCUACAAACCAUCCACUCAUCUUCACCACGCCUCCUUCCGUGAAGGUUCGGCUGUUUUGACAGGAUAAUCUGAAGAUGUUUCCUGAUGAAAAAGAUACUUCGCUGCCUGGAUUGCUCUGUGAUAAGCACUGUUAAAGAUCAUAUUCAGUGAAUUGCAAAAUUCUCAGCAGGAGAAGGUAGAUGAAGAAAAGCCACAAAGACAUUGCAAAAGGUAAGGAAAAGGACAGUGGGCAGAUUAUAAGAAAGGGGAGUGGAAGGGAAAACAACUGUACAACUUUACCAGUGUGAUGGGAAAAAAGGACAAUUAAGGGAUACUUCACGCAGGGCAAAACACACAAAAGCAUUCAUUUUUAAAUUUCUCAUAUUUGUUUUUGCCGAAAGAUGUGUGUGUAUGUAAUUAUUACUCUCCAUUUAGUGAAUAUCAGUGGUGUAGAUACAAAAUGGCACAAAACUGAUUUUCUUUCCUUCCUUCUCCUGACUAGCUGGAAGCGAAAAGUUCCAUAAGUGGUGAUUAAGCCAUAGACUCUUGAGGUAUCCGUUUAAUACACUGGUGGAAAAAAGCCCUAAAAAUUAGAAAAAGCUUAUUGAAAUGAAAAUUCCUUACUUCAGUCAGUUCAGAGAUUCAAAAGAGUUUGGGGAUGAACUAGGAAUUUAUCAAAAAAACUAGUCUUUCUUAUCAGAGUCGAAAAACUCGCACUCUGAGUCUCAUAGUAUAUCUCUUUUAGGAUUUUGAAAACUGUGACCUGAGGGCCACAUCUGGUCUGUCACCUGUUUUUUGUUGAAGCUGUAUGGUAACUCUCACUUGCACCUUUGUUUGCAUGUCUCUGUUUCAUCUGGCUGCUUGGGUGCUACAAAUCCAGAGGUUAGUAGUUGUCACAGAGACUGUAUGUUCCACAAGGCCAAGACUAUUUAUUAUUUGACCCCAUAAAAAUUUUGUUGACUUCUGUAUUUAUUUUAAACAUACCUAUUAUUCCAGGUUCAACUUGAAUCUUUCUAAGAAUUUUCUUGCAAUUUUCCCUGCUCACACUGCCCUCUGUAUCUGUAGAUUGUUGUUAAAAUUAUAGAUAUAUCCAUACCAUCCACAGCUUAACUAAACUUCAGGUAAGUUUUUUUUUUUCUUUCUUCAUUACCUUAUUCUUGCAGCAUUUAUAUGAGAAAACAAAAUUUUAAAUUCCUUCUCCUUCCCUAGGAUAUGUGAAAGUUUUACAACCCAGGAAUGUCUUGCUCAAGAACCUGGGAGACUUCCUUUCUCAAAGUAAUAAUUGAGAAAGAUAAGGCCCCUUUAUCCCAGUCUCUGUGCAGAGGUAGACACUAACUCCCAUUAGUGCUACUUAGAAGGCCACCCUUCAGGCUAAGGACCGGGAGUACUUUUUAAUUAGUUCACUCUGUGUUUGCAAAUCCACCCCCAUCUUUGUUUCAGAGGAGCUGAGUUCAAUCUCUUGCAGUCAUCUUUAAUAAUCUUGACCUUCAGCAAAUUGUGCUUGCAUUUUUUGUUUGUUUGUUUGUUUAUUUGUUUUAGGCUAUACCCUAGGCCUAUGGAAGUUCUAAGGCUAGGGGUUGAAUUGGGCACAGCUGCGGGCCACAGCCACAGCCAUAGCAAUGAGGAGCCAAGCCUCCUCUGUGACCUCUCACAGCAACGUUGAAUCCUUAAGCCACUGAGGGAGGCCAGAGAUUGAACCUGCAUCCUGAUGGAUAGUAGUCAGAUUGGUUUCCACUGAGCUGCUACAGGAACUCCUAGCACAAAGUUUUGGAUAAAGUUUUCCUUGCCAAGGUAAUUCUAUCUAGUGCAAUACUUGUUUGAAACAUCUGUGACUCUUUUCUAUCAAAUAAAAGUCUUAC
rnacentral:lncRNA from 9 species